CCUACGGGAAGCAGCAGUGAGGAAUAUUGCGCAAUGGGGGCAACCCUGACGCAGCAACGCCGCGUGAGUGAGGAAGGUUUUCGGAUCGUAAAGCUCUGUCGGGUGGGAAGAAAUGUAUAGGGGUUAAUAGCCUUUAUACUUGACGGUACCGCCAAAGGAAGCACCGGCUAACUCCGUGCCAGCAGCCGCGGUAAUACGGGGGGGGCAAGCGUGGUUCGGAAUCAUGGGGCGUAAAGAGCGUGUAGGCGGCUAGGCAAGUCAGAUGUGAAAUCCCAGGGCUUAACCCAGGACGUGCAUUUGAAACUGCCUAGCUUGAGUAAGGAAGAGGGAAGUGGAAUUCCUGGUGUAGAGGUGAAAUUCGUAGAUAUCAGGAGGAACACCGGUGGCGAAGGCGACUUCCUGGUCCUAUACUGACGCUGAGACGCGAGAGCGUGGGGAGCAAACA
rnacentral:rRNA from 1 species